AAGCCUACGGGAGGCAGCAGUGGGGAAUAUUGGGCAAUGGGCGCAAGCCUGACCCAGCAACGCCGCGUGAAGGAAGAAGGCUUUCGGGUUGUAAACUUCUCUUGUCAGGGACGAAGCAAGUGACGGUACCUGACGAAUAAGCCACGGCUAACUACGUGCAAGCAGCCGCGGCAAUACGUAGGUGGCAAGCGUUAUACGGAUUUAUUGGGUGUAAAGGGCGUGUAGGCGGG
rnacentral:rRNA from 1 species